CUACGGCAGCUACACGGGAUGCUGGGAAAUGCAGUUCCUCUUCCUUCUUGGUUACUGUCUCUCCUCCCCCAACCCGGAGCCCUCGCGGAAUCCUGGGAAAUGUAGUUCCUUCUUCCUCCUGGGGGUCACUGUUCUCCCCUGAGCCGCCUGAUUGGUUUGCUCUUCACAUAUGGGCAGCUCUCACCUCUAAAGCUUUUUUUUUUUUAUUGAAUUAUAAGUCGGCCACAGAGUGAUUAUUUGAGGAAAUGUCUGAAAGGGUAGAGAGACAAUAGAGAGGGCUAGAGGCCUCUGUGCUAAGCCUAACCCAGUCUGGUUUUCUUGGACUUAUAAUAAUAACCAGCAUUUAUAUAGCACCCAGGUUUGAAAAGCGCUUCAAAAUAUCAUCUCAUUUAAUCCUCUGCACCAAUCCUGAAAACUGGUUGCUGUUGUGAGUUUUAUUUACAGAUGGAGAAAAUGAGACAAACUUUACUCAAGUCGUCCCUAUUCCCAGAUGGGGCUUUUACUCCGCUGCGCCACGUAGUGGUCGACCUUCACUAACAGAGUUACCAUAGUAACCAGAAACCCGGCCCUCCAGUCUCUCUCCAAUCAGGCUGUUGAACCUGAGGUGAGAAUGAUAAAGAGAAGAGAGCGAGAGCAAGAAAGUUCUUCUUUCCAAAGUAAAACAUUUGAUUAAGCUGGAGCUGAACCAAAGGCAAGAAAAGUGGAAAGACUGGAGUUUGAUGUUCCCAAUCCUGCAAAAAUUCAAACAGCCCAGGCAGAGUGAAUAGAUCACUUGUAGCUGAAGCACAAAGGAGAUAGCUAACUGCUGAGAGAUGAGCGGAGUUUGGCAGCCUCUGAAACCAACUCAGUCCAAAGCUUGAGGACAAAUCCCCAGGAAGAGCUUUGCUCCAGCCAAGAUUCAAGAAACUUUGAAAAAGGAAUUCUUCCUCACAGAUCAAAAAGGAACUCCUUAAAGGGAGUGAUGCCACCUCCAGCAACCACUUGCUUAUCUCCUAUCUACUUUGCAGAAACCAUUCGACCAUACUUUAGCCCUUGGAAAUGAAGUUGAUGAUAAUGGCCAACAUUUCCCAAAUCUAUUUUUCUGUGAUUAUUAAAAUAUGCAAAUAAUAUAAAAUUCAAUUUAUAGAAUACAAGGCAAUAAAAUAAUAAAUUUUAAAUAAAUAAAUAAAAUA
rnacentral:lncRNA from 1 species